rnacentral:lncRNA from 1 species
AAUAAUUUCCAAGGUAUUAUCAAACAUCCAAAAAAAGUGAAAUUGUAACUCCUCUGUUCGUGUGUUACACUGAGAAAUGUACAAUGUCCAAAGGGGAGCAACAUGAGCUAAAGAAGGUGAAUAUAUAUGUCUGUUCCAACUAACAAACAAACACAUAUCUAUUUCAACUGAUGACAAAUCUACUGAAAAUUAUCAAAUAGAUAUAUAUGUUUGUUUCAACAGUUGACUAACUUGUUGCAUCAAAUAAAGUAUCUGUUGCAACAUAUGUCUCGUCUGUUUUUAGCAAAUCAAACAGCUCUUCGUACCACUUUUCUUUGUACCAACAGUUGACCACUCUUCUGUCGCGCCCUAUUUUUCUCGCGGAAGGAGAGAUUCGACUUGCCAAACUCUUUUGGGAUGCGUUAAAAAAGGGUGUGAAAGUCGUCACCUAAUGUAUUAAGGUGUAUUAGGGCACCGGUCUAGGCUACUACAAAACUAUUUUGUUAUUUUGUCUUAGUUCACCAAAAAUUUGGGUAAGGGUUCAAAUUACUUCAAAAGGAAGGUGUUAGGCACCUUUCGAGGUCCACAAAGGUGGUUUCCGGCCAAAUUCGUACUUUACAUGGGGAUUCUAUGUGAUCAAAUAAAAGUCUUUUGUUUUAUUAUUAAUUUUACAUUUAGCUAAGUGGUAAAGUAAUUAACAAAUAUUUAACUAAUUUAUUUUAACUAUUAAUCAUCUAAGUGAUCAAAUAUAUAAAUAAGACAAGCGAGAAGAAAAAAAUGAUAUAAUUUAUAACAAAGGGGACUGCUUAUGUAACAGACUAACUACCCCAAAUAAAUGAACAUGUAAAGUAAAUAAACGACUAAAAAGAAAUCGUCCAAGUCAAACAAAGAAAUAUUUUGGUCCCAUUCGGAUCAGAAACCCAACUUGUUAAUCAUCAUCUGACCCAAGGGUUGAACUCUUAGACAAGUAAUAAUGUCAUUAGCCUCGUUGUUAAUAUCUAUUGGAAUCAUCAUUUCCGAAUGACUACCCGUCCCACCCCACCUAGGAUGGAUGUCAAGUCUAAAGGCAUUCUAUGACAAGGAUAAAACUAACGUUUUUAGUAAUACUUAUUGUCCUACCUAUCGCUCAAGAGGCAUUGGACUUUGCUAUUUUGGAUUUGUGUUCUAGACUAAAAGAAAGCUAUGUUGCCUAGGACUCAAAGAGCGAACAUAUUGGACAACAAGUAGCACGUAAUAAUCUCAAGUUAGCCUCUUGAUUAAUUAACGUCAAUUACUGUGAUAGGAUGUAAAUACAAGCAAAUUAUUUAUUAUGUUGUUAACCUAUAGACAUGAUAUCUAAAUGUUCAACAAGUAGUGAUAAAAGACAAUUGUGAUUCAUGUAUGCAAUGAUGUAAUGUGUGUUCAAAAAAGUUUUCAAGGUGUGAUAAUUGUGUCAAGAGAUGUGCUCGCGAAUUAAGUGUUAUAAACUAUAAUGAGAAUAUAAGAAACUAGUAAAAUAUUAAAGGAUGCGUUAACAUGUUACGGAUGCACUUAAAUAUGGAGAACAGAUUAACAUGUAGAAAAUGUAGAGAAUUAUUAGUAUUUUAGCAUGCUGGAAGUCAACUAAACAUGUUGAAAAAUGAAUUAAACAGGCUGAAGAAGUUAAUUAAACAUGCUAAAAAAUUAAUUAAUCAUGCCGAAAGUUACUUAAUCAUGCUGAAAAGUUACUUAAACAUGCUGAAAAAAAUUAAUUAAUCAUGCUGAAAAUAACGUUAAGGCGCAUUUUAAACAGGCUAAAAUUAGAUUCAUUAUGCCAAAAAUUAGAUUUUUAAUGAACAGUGAAUUAACACGUGGGUCACACAAGAAAUUAAUAUGAACAUGCUAAAUGUGCCUAGGUAAACAUGUAAAAACGUUGACACAGUUAUUUUAAUGUAGACAUGCUGGAAACUCAAUUUAAACAUGCUGAAAAAUAUUAAAUACAUUGUUCCACAUGCUAAAAAUGCUCAAGUAGACUAUUUAACAAGUAGGACUGAAAACGCUCAAGUAGACUAUUUACCAAGUAGGAAACGUUUAACGUAAUAACUUGCAUGUUAACAUACAAAAUGCUUGAAUUAAUUGUUAAUCAUGUAAAAAAAAUAUUACUAGGCCUAUAAACUAGUUUAGAUAUACUAACAUGCUAAAAAUCAAUUCAAUGUGAUAAAAAUACAUCAAUAUGCUCAAUGUGAAUAUAAGGUGUCGAUUUUAGUUAGAUUAAGAAUAAUUAAUAAAUCGUAGAACAUGAUUCAUAUUAGUAAAUCCUAAUUUUGUGCCUAGAUGAUUCUUGUAACACGUAUUACGCAUAACCCUAGGCUGCCUACCUAUAUCGUUCAUAGAGCACGUAAAUUCCCGCCUCCGAAGCAGUCCCCCAAAUUUAUUUAUUACAAUUAUAAUAAUGUUUUUACAAAGUAUUACAAAUCAAAUAAGAAACCAAACUAAACUAAUACAACCCAGUUAUAUAACUAUCCCGGCGAUUCUUUGAAACCCCGUAAUUGUCUAUUUAAACCUGCGAGACAAGAUAUGAUGGCAAGCAAAUAGGAAUAUAUAAUAACAACAUCGAAUUAUUCCUAGACAUGCUUUCUUAAGGCUUUCACAGCAUGAUGCAAUCAACACACAUAGGGUAUGAAAAUUACAUUAUUUUGGAAACUUACCGGUGAGCAACAACAAAAGAAAUAACAAGAAUAACAAAAGCCAGGCACUUGUAACAGUGAAAGAUGUUUUAGUAAGCCCCGAAGAACAGUAGAAGAAACCUCAAAAGUAUCUAAUUACUUUUGUUUUAGAGAGUAGUAGUAAUAAUUGUAAUAGAACUUAAAAGCUUGUAAACUUGAGAAGUCUGAGGGUUUUUUGUAUAUAGAGAGUGUAUAGGGAGUGAAAGAGGGUGAUAAGAGAUCCCCAAAUAAUAAGAAAGGGCAUUGUUUAUAUAAUAAAAGAGUCAAGACAAAUAACGGAAAAAGAAUAUCUUUUGUCAAUCAAUUAAGAAAAAAUAAAAUCAGUCCAUCAAUCAAUGACAAUUUUUCAUAAAUAUUCCACCUAUAUUAAUCAAGUAACUUAAAUCAGCCUAAGCAUAGAAGGAAGAGAAAUAUCAAUCAACAUAGAGCAUAUUUGAUGUAAUCAAUCAACAAAAUUAUCCUUAAAUAUUAAGAUCACACUCAAUAAUAUAAAAUUAGUCAAAAUAAUCAAAUUAUCCAUCAAUUCAAAUUUUCUUAAUUAAGUAGAGUGAAUCAAUCAGCACACAUUUACCAUAAAUAGAUUUAAAAAUAUAAAAUAAAAAACACUAAAAAUACAGAUAUGCAUCCGCUUUUACUGAUUAGAAAAUAUGAAACAAUUAAUCACAAAUUAUUUUAAUUGCAUGAUUUUCAAAAGUUUUCAUACACAACCUGAUAAUGUAAAUCAGACAGAUCCCCGUAAUUAAGCACGAAACAGUUAAUGUUAUUUUGCACAUAAAUCAGACAUGCCAAUGAACAUAUGAACAUCACAAUUCCAUCGUAUGCAUAACAAAAAAAAUUAAAGUGAACAUUUGGGGUUUGGACAGUUCACACAGCAACAGGUGUUUUGACACACGGAUAUAAACACAUAAACGUACAUUACUUGCAAGAAUCAAUUCACAAUUAAUAAUUAAGUUUUGUCAAUUCCAAAUGAAAUAAAAAAAUGUCGACAAAAAAUAAAAAUAUAUAAGAAGAUGAUAACUUUUAAAAUAGAAAUGGGGAAAUCAAACCUUGGACAGAUCCUUAAGAAUCCGUCAUGAGGAUGAACGUUUUCUGGUGACUCGAACUGAAGUAGCGGUGGUAGGAGGUGGCUGAUUGUUUCGCCGGCUGGGGAUGUUCGACGGCGUCAGUAACGGAGCAGCGACGAGGUACUGGGCCUUCUCCGGUGAAGCAGCGGCGGGGAAGGGCGAACUAGUCGCGAUGGCGAUGACUUGUGCUGGCAGAUCUGGGCAUUGACAGAGGAGAGUCGUGACGCCACGGCUGGAGGCGGUUGUUUCACUGGCGGUUGCUGCAGAUCUGGACGGAGGCGGUGGAGCGGUGAUUGAGGAGUGAGGGAAACGGUGGUGCUAGUGGCGGCGAGGUCGCGAUGGAACGGGUAAGGAGGAGGACGGGAGAGGUGGGUGAGAGAGAGGGAGAAAGAGGCGGGUGAGAGAGGGAGGUGGAGGCUGAUGAAAAUAGUAAUGAGAUUAGGAUUUUGGGUUGUUGGAUUAAAAAGAAAAGAAAG